AAAAAUCCCAGAUUUUUUCACUAAACGUUGUAUUAGGUCGUUCAGCUUGAAACGUGACAAACGAAGAAGACGGGGCUAUUUUAGAACAGCGCAAUCUUUUGUGGCACUUUUUCUUGCGUUCGAAAUGUCCCUGUAUUCUUUCUUUGUCAUCAAAGACCACUGAGUCGGAUAUCGCCUCUCGGGCUUUUCGCAUAUGGGUUAUAGUGGAUCAUGAAAAAUAAGAAAAUUCGACGAAUAUGGGUCCAUUUUGGAAUUACAGCAGCAGAAACAGCUCGGCGUAUAAAGCCUUGUAUUCGGUGAAGGUUCUACUAUGAUUAGAAACAUUGUGAGCAGACGGCUUAAAGAUUUCGGAAAGAAAAUAUUUAACUUGAGAAUGAGUCUCAUGCCAAAUCAAUCGAGAGGGUUUAGAGCUGUGGUGGAAGCCGCCCUAUCUCAAAGAGCACGGGUGUUAGCACUCAUGUUCAGUGUCCGUAAAAAAAAAACGCAAAAAUAUUAAUCGAUGUCAAGGCAAAACAUGGACAAAUUAAAUUAAACAGAGACGUUUAAUUCUCCCUGCUAUCCCGUAAAAACGGUAACCUAUUCUUGCACUAAAUUGUCAAUUCAUGAUAGGAAACAGAUUUCUUACGACAGCGGGCGCAUGCAGCAGAGCCAAUUGGCCACCAGCCUAAAGCAAGCGCAUAGUUCUGCUAUGGUUUUAUGAAUUAGUCGAUUACAUUUGCACUAUACCGUCAGCAGUUAGAGACGACGAAUAUACAAACGAACUUUGCGUGAAGCAGACAAGAUUAGUGGACAAAAAGGCUCGGUAAUAAACAACAACAGCAGCAGUGGCAUGCAAUCUGCACCGAUGCGGUCAGCGCAUCGUUUCACGACGCCAGUAUAGCAUAAAGAAUAAAGCAAAAUUGGAAACAGUAACCGGCUGCAACUAACUGCCAUAAUGACUUAACAAAUAAGUCAUUGCCGUAAUAAAUAAUAAUAAAUGAGUCGUUGCCGUGACGAGACCAGAGCGACAUUCAUGAUGCACCCGUCAUCAUAAAGCGAAGCCAAAGAGUGACAUGAAUCAUACCAUUGUUACUGUCGUUGGAUGAGCAGGGCGGCCAUCGGACGUCUGCCUGUCCGUGGUUCGGUGAGCAAAUCUGGAUACAGAGAGAUUAUAGCCUGAUCACGACAUAGCCAGUAGAAGACGAACAUAAUAAUAAUGCAUCGUUGCUACAGAAAUGGUGUCGAUGCCUUUCGGAGGAAUGAAUGUGGGGACUGGCAAGCGCUCGUUGAUUGAACUGUAGACAUACAACUUUUACUAUUCGUCGAUCAAGCCCGAUUUAUAAGUUCAUGGACGGACUAUCGUUACUGCUAACAAAAGUCUGUAAGUGUGCUCAUAAGACAGUCAGCAGACGUGUUAAUUACCUAUCUAAUAUUAAUGGUUAUCGUCGUCGUCAACCUCCAGAUCUACCAAGACGCGGUCCAUCUUUUAUAAAACCUACUAGAAUUAAUACUAAAGCCGCUAUACUGUAUAUCGUUGGAAUAAACUGAAUAAACAUACAUAUGAUUCCUAUGUGAUAAGUUACAAAACGUGUUUGCGGAACAGCGCUUCACACAGUAGCGCUGGAAAUUCUUUCCAUUUUACUCAAUCUGCUGAUGUUUCGUAAAACAAUUACGCCACAUAAUCAAACUUGUACGAUCGUUAAUUGUUCUACAUCAUCUAAUAAUAACAUCAAAAUUGCGCCGAUCACGUCAAGAUG